rnacentral:misc_RNA from 1 species
UUUUAGGAUUCAUCAAAACUGGGUGUAAUGGAACAACAGCUAUCAUCAAUUGCAAGCCGAAGGGUCGGUUCGCGAGAGAUUUGAAUUCAUGGAGGAAGGGGGAGGAGGAGAAGAGCAAGUAAAACCAAAUAGAGAGAAAAUGGAGGAGCUGAAGGAAGGAGUGGCAUCAAUAGCAUUGUUGCCGUGUGGAUCCAUCUCUGGCCACUUCAUCCAGCUUCCCCAGUCCAUUUGCUAUGGUCUUCAUGGCACUGGUACUUCUUCUGUAUUUGGUUUUUAUAGCAUUGCUUUGCAACUAAUAUUUUUGAAACUGCUGAUGAGAAUUGGUGGUGCCUUUAGGAUGCAUCAUGCAUUGACCAUAAGUAAAGAUGCAUGUGCUUAUGAAUAGUUUAGGAACUUGGAGUCAUGUCUCAAGUUUCAUAUUGUUAAUUUUAUCCAUUUCUCUCCAAUAGUUGAUUUUGUGUCCAAACAAACAAAAUUAAUCCUUUUGUAUUUAUGCAGUAAUAUAUGUCCUACUUUGCCCAUUAUCUGUAGGGACCUGUAAAAGUUUUACCAAGAGCUUUAACAUAUGUGAAAUGCACCUUUGCAACUUAAGUUAUCUUGCUACUCGACUUCUGUCAGUUCCUUGCGUGUAUUUAUUGCGUAUGUGUGCGUGUGUUUAUGAGAUGCAGUGAGCAUUCCAACUUUUGAAUAAGUGCUCAUGCUUCCACACUCAAGCCCUUGUGUGGUAAAUCCUUCCACACUCUUAAGAAAAAAAGGGGUCAAUUGACCGCCCUUUUUGUGUGGUAAAUCCGCCACUGGCUGAAAGCUUUGAUUUCUUCAGUCAGUGGGUUUUUUAGUCAGGGGAAGCUUGGUUAUAUUUAGUGUAUUUAGCAUGUGAGUGUUCCUUUUGGAAAUUUUGGCUAUAAGUAGUAUUGGGAUUUGGAUAGUGAUUGGAUAUAAAUAGGUUCACUUCUCCUUCUUGGUGUCUUCUACUGAAACAAAAUUCCAUGGCUAAACGCUAUUCAACUAGAGUGAGAAAAUGUAGGAAUUCUUGCUUAAAAAAAAAAACACUGUAGGAGCUCUUUCUAUGGGCAUUUUCUUUUUAAGUGUUUUUCCUUUCUGAACCUUUUUCUUUAUGGUGAAAAGAGUUGGCUUGUGAUAGGGAGUGCAGCAGGGGUGAGGAUUAUCGCUUGAUCAAGCUUACAAUCACCGAUUACAAUGUAUGGGGCUGUUUGCGUCUUUGUUUCCUUGUUUCCUAUUUCCUGCUUUUCUUCCUAUGUUUAUGACCAUGUUUUAAUACAAUUUUUUUUUCUGGGGGUAUGAUAGAGUGGGAAAGAGCAAGCUGUUGUUGUUGAGUGUAGAGGCCAUGAUGCUGCUCGCUUCCAUAACAUUGAUAAUGCCGAUGGCUGGGAAAAGGACAUUGUAGCUAUGGCAGAACAAAAGCAUGGGAAGCAAAAGACUUUUGUUUCAUUCGAGUGUGAGACACUGAAAGCUGAGAAAGCUGCAGAAGAGCAUAUCAGGAAGUUCAUGCCAAAAUUAGCUGGGCUAGAUGCUGUUGUCAAUAUUGGGCAAAUGAGGCUAUCAGGGUUGGACUUCGAAGCGGACGACAAGCCAUGAAACAGAUGACGUGAGCUGAUGCAUGGCAU